rnacentral:rRNA from 1 species
AUUGAACGCUGGCGGCAUGCCUUACACAUGCAAGUCGAACGGCAGCACGGGUGCUUGCACCUGGUGGCGAGUGGCAAACGGGUGAGUAAUACAUCGGAACAUGUCCUCUAGUGGGGGAUAGCCCGGCGAAAGCCGGAUUAAUACCGCAUACGAUCUACGGAUGAAAGCGGGGGACCUUCGGGCCUCGCGCUAUAGGGUUGGCCGAUGCCUGAUUAGCUAGUUGGUGGGGUAAAGGCCUACCAAGGCGACGAUCAGUAGCUGGUCUGAGAGGACGACCAGCCACACUGGAACUGAGACACGGCCCAGACUCCUACGGGAGGCAGCAGUGGGGAAUUUUGGACAAUGGGCGAAAGCCUGAUCCAGCAAUGCCGCGUGUGUGAAGAAGGCCUUCGGGUUGUAAAGCACUUUUGUCCGGAAAGAAAUCCUUGGCCCUAAUACGGUCGGGGGAUGACGGUACCGGAAGAAUAAGCACCGGCUAACUACGUG